CCCGGGUCUUGUACACACCGCCCGUCACACCAUGGGAGUGGGUUCUACCAGAAGUAGGUAGGCUAACCGCAAGGGGGCCGCUUACCACGGUAGGAUUCAUGACUGGGGUGAAGUCGUAAACAAGGUACCC
rnacentral:rRNA from 1 species